rnacentral:rRNA from 1 species
UACGUAGGGUGCAAGCGUUAAUCGGAAUUACUGGGCGUAAAGCGUGCGCAGGCGGUUGGGCAAGACAGAUGUGAAAUCCCCGGGCUCAACCUGGGAAUUGCAUUUGUGACUGUACGGCUAGAGUGUGUCAGAGGGGGGUAGAAUUCCACGUGUAGCAGUGAAAUGCGUAGAGAUGUGGAGGAAUACCGAUGGCGAAGGCAGCCCCCUGGGAUAACACUGACGCUCAUGCACGAAAGCGUGGGGAGCAAACAGG